GGACCUGGCCUGGCACAUAGAAGCCACCGAAGGGGUCCUGUGCCAAGGACAAACAGGAACGCCCACCCAGUGGGCGGGCCGUCCGUGGUCCAGAACUGGCAGGCCACUGACAAAUAUCCUCUGAGUAAAACUAAGGAAGGACGUCAGCUAUCAUCAGGGGGACUUGUGUGCCCCAGAGCCUACAGGGUGCUCAGGGACUGCAAGAAGAUCUUCCUUCCAGAAACAUUCAGUGGCACCUCCCCUUCUCCGACACUCUGCCGGGCCAUGGAAUUGCAGAGAAGAACGGGAGGGGGCCCUUGCCCUGAAGAACUCACAGAUCUGGAGGCUGGAAGUCCAAGAUCAAGGUGCCAGCGGGAUGGUUUCUGGAAGAUUAGCCCUGAGCUAACAUCUGCUGCCAAUCUUCCUCUUUUCGCUGAGGAAGACUGGCCCUGAGCCAACAUCCGUGUCCAUCUUCCUCCACCUUAUAUGUGGGACACCUGCCACAGCAUGGCUUGUCAAGUGAUGCCAUGUCUGUACCCGGGAUCCGAACCGGCAAACCCCGGGCCACUGAAGCAGAACGUGCGCACUUAACCGCUGCGCCACAAGGCCAGCCCCCUGGUGACUUUUAAUUACGGCCAAGGCUGACCUUGAGCAGAGGAGAGAAGGCUGCCAUCCGUGCAGCCUGUUUUCGUGGACUUAAGGAACUUCCUGCUUGGUCAUUUAUAUCCUUUCCCUGAUACAGCUUGCUACAUACAGACCCCAACUUCUGGAAUUAGAGGUUGAUUCCUUUGGCUCGAGCCCAGGGUUAAAUUGCAGCUACCUCUGGGGUGGGUUGUUUAGUAAACCUUAGAAGUGCUUUACACCUGCGUGUAUAUACUCCUCAGAUCAAGUCUCUAGAGCAUUGUCUGAUAGAGAAAGGGGCAGGAGGAAUCUGACCGUGAGCAGGGCACAGGGUUUGCCAGGACAGAGCAAACUUACUCAUUUUAUCCAAAACACCUGGUCUGAUCCUGACCGUAACCCACUUGUCAGAUCACACUCGAGGCAUAGAGGACAAUGCAAGCACUUGAUUUAAAUCAUUAGAUCCAGCUUCCUCCUCCUCACAUUUCGCUGUUGACGAGCAACACUUCUAGCCAGAACUAAAUGUCUACAGUCUUGUCUUUCUUGGCCACCCGUGUGUAUUAAGUACAAAGAAACCAUAAAAU
rnacentral:lncRNA from 1 species